CCUACGGGAGGCAGCAGUGAGGAAUAUUGGUCAAUGGACGAGAGUCUGAACCAGCCAAGUAGCGUGAAGGAUGACUGCCCUAUGGGUUGUAAACUUCUUUUAUAGGGGAAUAAAACGUGCCACGUGUGGGAGUUUGUAUGUACCAUAUGAAUAAGGAUCGGCUAACUCCGUGCCAGCAGCCGCGGUAAUACGGAGGAUCCGAGCGUUAUCCGGAUUUAUUGGGGUUAAAGGGAGCGUCGGUGGAUUGUUAAGUCAGUUGUUAAAGUUGGCGGCUCAACCGUAAAAUUGCAGUUGAAACUGGCAGUCUUGAGUACAGUAGAGGUCGGCGGACUUCGUUGUGUAGCGGU
rnacentral:rRNA from 1 species